AGCAGUCGCGCGGUAAUACAGAGGGUGCGAGCGUUAAUCGGAUUUACUGGGCGUAAAGCGUGCGUAGGCGGCUAAUUGAGUCGGAUGUGAAAUCCCCGAGCUUAACUUGGGAAUUGCAUUCGAUACUGGUUAGCUAGAGUGUGGGAGAGGAUGGUAGAAUUCCAGGUGUAGCGGUGAAAUGCGUAGAGAUCUGGAGGAAUACCGAUGGCGAAGGCAGCCAUCUGGCCUAACACUGACGCUGAGGUACGAAAGCAUGGGGAGCAAACAGGAUUAGAUACCCCCGUAGUCCCUGUCUCUUAUACU
rnacentral:rRNA from 1 species